AUUGAACGCUGGCGGCAUGCUUUACACAUGCAAGUCGAACGGCAGCGGGGGCUUCGGCCUGCCGGCGAGUGGCGAACGGGUGAGUAAUGCAUCGGAACGUGCCCAGUCAUGGGGGAUAACUACGCGAAAGCGUAGCUAAUACCGCAUACGCCCUGAGGGGGAAAGCGGGGGAUCGCAAGACCUCGCGUGAUUGGAGCGGCCGAUGUCGGAUUAGCUAGUUGGUGGGGUAAAGGCCUACCAAGGCGACGAUCCGUAGCGGGUCUGAGAGGAUGAUCCGCCACACUGGGACUGAGACACGGCCCAGACUCCUACGGGAGGCAGCAGUGGGGAAUUUUGGACAAUGGGGGGCAACCCUGAUCCAGCCAUGCCGCGUGAGUGAAGAAGGCCUUCGGUUGUAAGCGUCUUUCUAGACGGUAAGAAA
rnacentral:rRNA from 1 species